rnacentral:rRNA from 1 species
CCUACGGGCGGCAGCAGUGGGGAAUAUUGGGCAAUGGGCGCAAGCCUGACCCAGCAACGCCGCGUGAAGGAAGAAGGCUUUCGGGUUGUAAACUUCUUGUGUCAGGGAAGAGUAGAAGACGGUACCUGACGAAUAAGCCACGGCUAACUACGUGCCAGCAGCCGCGGUAAUACGUAGGUGGCAAGCGUUGUCCGGAUUUACUGGGUGUAAGGGGCGUGUAGCCGGGUUGACAAGUCAGAUGUGAAAUCCUGCGGCUUAACCGCAGAACUGCAUGUGAAACUGUUGAUCUUGAGUACUGGAGGGGCAGACGGAAUUCCUGGUGUAGCGGUGAAAUGCGUAGAUAUUAGGAGGAACACCAGUGGCGAAGGCGGUCUGCUGGACAGCAACUGACGGUGAGGCGCGAAGGCGUGGGGAGCAAACAGGAUUAGAUACCCCCGUAGUC